AGGGUGGACUGUCUCAGAGUGGU
rnacentral:miRNA from 1 species